rnacentral:tRNA from 1 species
GGGUGUAGCUCAGGAUAGAGUGCAUGCCUUGCAUUCAUGAGGCCCUGGGUUCCAUCCCCAACACUCCCA